UAUUGAAUGAAAACCCCAACCUCCUCCCGA
rnacentral:piRNA from 1 species